rnacentral:rRNA from 1 species
UACGUAGGGUGCGAGCGUUAAUCGGAAUUACUGGGCGUAAAGCGUGCGCAGGCGGUUGGUUAAGUCUGAUGUGAAAGCCCCGGGCUCAACCUGGGAAUGGCAUUGGAAACUGUCCAGCUGGAGUGUGGCAGAGGGGGGUGGAAUUCCGCGUGUAGCAGUGAAAUGCGUAGAUAUGCGGAGGAACACCGAUGGCGAAGGCAAUCCCCUGGGCCUGCACUGACGCUCAUGCACGAAAGCGUGGGGAGCAAACAGG